UGUCUGUAUAUAAAUAAACUCGUAUCAUCAUUUCUCUUCAUACAUAUCUUCAACUGAGUAAUGGAUACCAAACUCUUGUAUUUUGUUCUGAUGGCUGUGUUUCUAUUGCUCAGUGUUUCCAAAAUCUGGUGGGAAACUGCUCAUGAUAAACCGCGAGUUCUCACGACAAAAGAGUGGCUCGAUAUACUCUUCGAAACAAAAACUGCGUUUCUUCGCAUCGGAUUUCACGAAGAUCAAGAGUAUUUUAGAUCUUAUUUUGUGCUUUAGACUAUAUUACACCAAGUGUACACAUGUAUUAUAGUUUUCUCAACGGCUAAAUUAUUUAAUUAAGAGGAAAAACUAUAUUUAAUCAAACACUAUAUCCGCAGAAACAGACCAUAUGUCGGCAGAUUCGGGUUGGAAGCUACUGAAUCCGAAAAAGCCCAACAAGAUAUAUGGAACCAAACCCUAGUUUUACUUCGGCGUAUUUUAAAACAGAAUUCUCCAUCGGACGCCGUUCACUUGUUUUAUUUCCCCUGUUUUAAAUAUGUUUUUAUAAUUAGUAAGAUACAUGAAAAUAUUCGAACA